rnacentral:rRNA from 1 species
GCGACCCCAGCUCAGGCGGGACCACC